UGAGCUCAGGCAAUCCACAUGCCUUGGCCUCCCAGAGUGCUAGGAUUACAGGUAUGAGCCACUAUACCUGGA